rnacentral:rRNA from 1 species
UACGUAUGGUGCAAGCGUUAUCCGGAUUUACUGGGUGUAAAGGGAGCGUAGGCGGCGCGUUAAGUCUGAUGUGUAAACCCGAGGCUCAACCACGGGAGUGCAUUGGAAACUGGCGUGCUGGAGUGCCGGAGAGGUAAGCGGAAUUCCUAGUGUAGCGGUGAAAUGCGUAGAUAUUAGGAGGAACACCAGUGGCGAAGGCGGCCUACUGGACGGCAACUGACGCUGAGGCUCGAAAGCGUGGGGAGCAAACAGG